rnacentral:rRNA from 1 species
UACGUAGGGGGCGAGCGUUGUCCGGAAUUAUUGGGCGUAAAGAGCUCGUAGGCGGCCUGUCGCGUCGGGUGUGAAAGCCCGGGGCUUAACCCCGGGUCUGCAGUCGAUACGGGCAGGCUAGAGUUCGGUAGGGGAGAUCGGAAUUCCUGGUGUAGCGGUGAAAUGCGCAGAUAUCAGGAGGAACACCGGUGGCGAAGGCGGAUCUCUAGUCCGGUACUGACGCUGAGACGCGAAAGCGUGGGGAGCGAACAGG